GACAGAGGCCCCAAGCGUUAGGCGGAAUCACUGGGCUUAAAGCGUGUGUAGGCGGACGCCUAAGUGUCUUGUGAAAUCCCACGGCUCACCCGUGGAACUGCUGGGCAUACUGGGCGUCUUGGGCCAACUAGGGGCAGCCGGAACAAGCGGUGGAGCGGUGAAAUGCGUAGAUAUCGCUUGGAACGCCGAAGGUGAAAACAGGCUGCUGGGGUUGCGCCGACGCUGAGACACGAAAGCCAGGUGAGCAAACGGG
rnacentral:rRNA from 1 species